GAGUUUGAUCGUGGCUCAGGAUGAACGCUGGCGGCGUGCCUAACACAUGCAAGUCGAACGGAGUUCUUAAGGAAUGCGGCUUCGGCCAAAUGACUUUUGAACUUAGUGGCGGACGGGUGAGUAACGCGUGAGCAACCUGCCUUUCAGAGGGGGAUAACAUUUGGAAACAGAUGCUAAUACCGCAUAAGAUUACAGUACCGCAUGAUACAGUGAUCAAAGGAGCAAUCCGCUGAAAGAUGGGCUCGCGUCCGAUUAGAUAGUUGGUGAGGUAACGGCUCGCCAAGUCGACGAUCGGUAGCCGGACUGAGAGGUUGAACGGCCACAUUGGGACUGAGACACGGCCCAGACUCCUACGGGAGGCAGCAGUGGGGAAUAUUGCACAAUGGGCGAAAGCCUGAUGCAGCAACGCCGCGUGAGGGAAGACGGUUUUCGGAUUGUAAACCUCUGUUUUCGGUGAGAACAAAUGACGGUAACCGAGUAGGAAGCCACGGCUAACUACGUGCCAGCCGCCGCCGUAAUACCG
rnacentral:rRNA from 1 species